CUAGGACGAACGCUGGCGGCGUGCUUCAUACAUGCAAGUCGAACGAUAAGGUCUCUUCGGAGACACAUAAGUGGCGGACGGGUGAGUAAUGUGUAGAGAAUCUGCCCUAGAGUGGGGGACAACAGUUGGAAACGGCUGCUAAUACCGCAUAUGAGCGUACCUGUAAUGGUAUUCUUGAAAGCUUUAGUGCUCUAGGAUGAGUCUGCAUCUGAUUAGCUAGUUGGCGGUGUAAUGGACCACCAAGGCGACGAUCAGUAGCUGGUUUGAGAGGAUGAUCAGCCACAAUGGGACUGAGACACGGCCCAUACUCCUACGGGAGGCAGCAGGUAGGGUAAUUUUGCGCAAGUGGGACGAAAGCCUGACGCAGACCAACGCCGCGUGAUUGAAAUAACGCCCCGUUCGGGGUAGUAAAGAUCUGUCAGGUGGGGAACGAAACUUGACCGGUACCCACAGAGGAAGCAUCGGCUAACCUCCGUGCCAGCAGCUGC
rnacentral:rRNA from 1 species